rnacentral:rRNA from 1 species
GUCUGGGUGUAAAUAUGCUCAGUCUGACCUGCCCGCUGACAAUACGUUGUUGAAGAGCCGCGGUAUCUGUAACCGUGCGAAGGUAGCAUAAUAAUUUGUCUUUUAAUUGAAGGCUGGAAUGAAUGGUCGAACGAGAAGCCAGCUGUCUCUUUAGUGAUAAUUGAAUUUUACUUUUAAGUGAAAAGGCUUAAAUGCCACGAGGGGACGAUAAGACCCUAUAAAGCUUCACGAUUACUUUUGUUGUUCCCGAAUUUGAGGUGUAAGGGAGGCAGGUAUGGGUGUCGUUGCGUUGGGGCGACGAGAAUAUAAAAUAGUAACUGUUCUUGGAAUGAAACGGCUGUGACCGGUUGAGUUGACCCUUUAUUAAGGAUCACAAGAUCAAGUUACUUUAGGGAUAACAGCGUUAUUUCCUUUGAGAGUUCAUAUCGACAGGGUAAGUUGCGACCUCGAUGUUGAAUUAAGGUCUCAUCCAGGUGCAGAAGCUUGGACGGUAGGUCUGUUCGACCUUUAAAACUUU